CAGGCAUGAGCCACCUGGCUUCUACCCCUACUUUUGAGUACCUGAUUCCUGGUAUGUAUUUAGUUGGACUGUGAGUUAGCCUUUCUAAAGAAUUAUAUCAUUUGGGUUCUCCCUUAAAUCUACAACAUUUGGAUUAAUGUGUUAGAACUUCUUUUAAAAAAGUGCAGUUCUCAUAUGCUGAGUAGACAUUUAAUAAAAGGAAGUUAGCACUCUACCAC